UUAAAAAGGUCAAGCUACAAAGGGCGCAUGGUGAAUGCCUUGGCAUCAGGAGCCGAUGAAGGACGUGAUAAGCUGCGAUAAGCUUCGGGUAGGCGCACAUAGCCAGAGAUCCGGAGAUUUCCGAAUGGGGAAACCCGCAUGAGAAACCUCAUGCAUCGUAAAGUGAAUACAUAGCUUUAUGAAGGAACACCUAGGGAACUGAAACAUCUAAGUACCUAGAGGAAGAGAAAGAAAAAUCGAUUUUCUUAGUAGCGGCGAGCGAAAAGGAAAGAGCCCAAACCAGAGAUUUAUCUCUGGGGUUGCGGACAGAACAUAACGUGAAAUUAUGAUUAACCGAACACAACUGGAAAGUUGGACCGUAGGAGGUAAUAGUCCUGUAAGUAAAAGUCAUAAUGAUCAGUUCUGCACCAGAGUACCACGAGACACGUGAAACCUUGUGGGAAGCAGGGAGGACCACCUCCCAAGGCUAAAUACUACCUGAUGACCGAUAGUGAAGCAGUACCGUGAGGGAAAGGUGAAAAGAACCCCGGGAGGGGAGUGAAAUAGAACCUGAAACCAUGUGCCUACAACCGAUCAAAGCACCUUAUGUGUGUGAUGAUGUGCUUUUUGUAGAACGAGCCAACGAGUUACGGUAUGUAGCGAGGUUAAGUACUUAAGGUACGGAGCCGAAGGGAAACCGAGUCUUAAUAGGGCGACUAGUUGCAUGCUGUAGACCCGAAACCGGGUGACCUAUCCAUGGCCAGGUUGAAGCGAGGGUAAAACCUCGUGGAGGACCGAACCACGUUGCUGUUGAAAAAGCAUGGGAUGAGCUGUGGAUAGCGGAGAAAUUCCAAUCGAACUCGGAUAUAGCUGGUUCUCCUCGAAAUAGCUUUAGGGCUAGCGUCGUGAAAUGUGAGUACUGGAGGUAGAGCACUGAAUAGGCUAGGGGGCAUAGCGCUUACCGAACCUUAUCAAACUCCGAAUGCCAGAUACUAUCAGCACGGCAGUCAGACUAUGAAAGAUAAGUUCCAUGGUCAAAAGGGAAACAGCCCAGAUCGUCAGCUAAGGUCCCAAAGUGUAAGUUAAGUGGAAAAGGAUGUGGGAUUUCUAAGACAACUAGGAUGUUGGCUUAGAAGCAGCCACUCAUUAAAAGAGUGCGUAAUAGCUCACUAGUC
rnacentral:rRNA from 1 species